rnacentral:lncRNA from 1 species
CCGGAAAGAAACCCCUGGAAUUUGGAAGAAAAUGUCUAAAAGGGAAUGGCAAGGAACCUGAGGAACCAGCGUGAGGAAAACCUGGAUGAUCUGACGUCUUCCUCACUUUAUCCCUACCUGUCCACGCCUCCAUCCAUCCACCCAUCCAUCACUGAUCAAGCUCUCACUAUGUCUAUAGUGUAGAAGGUGCCACCAAAUGCAAUGGAACCUCUUGUCUCAUGUGUCUACUUGCAUCUUUAAGUUGAUACACGGAAGGCACAGUCCAAGCACAGGAUACUGGAAGCUAUGGAGGUACAGUGGCCUCUGAGCAAACUGAAAACUCUCUAUCACUAAAGGGUUGGGCAUACAGGGUAUCUCCUCUGCUCUGCCACCUACCUUGAGGAUGCUUUACAUGUGGCUAAAAGUGGAGGCAGAGAUAUUUGGAUAAAUAAAUGCUAGAGAAUUG